rnacentral:rRNA from 1 species
CCUACGGGACGCAGCAGUGGGGAAUAUUGCACAAUGGGGGGAACCCUGAUGCAGCGACGCCGCGUGAGUGAAGAAGUAUUUCGGUAUGUAAAGCUCUAUCAGCAGGGAAGAUAAUGACGGUACCUGACUAAGAAGCCCCGGCUAACUACGUGCCAGCAGCCGCGGUAAUACGUAGGGGGCAAGCGUUAUCCGGAUUUACUGGGUGUAAAGGGUGCGUAGGUGGCAGGGCAAGUCAGAUGUGAAAGCCCGGGGCCCAACCCCGGUACUGCAUUUGAAACUGUCGUUCUUGAGUACUGGAGAGGUUG